CUAAGCACUUAGGACUUUGCUACCACCUAUCCAAUAUAGAAUAUAGUAUAAUCUACCCGUUUCAUCUGAGAGCUGAUUAUCUUGAAGAAGAAAAAUGGGUUGGGGAAAAAUGUUCUUCACAGUUGUGAUUACGUUUUCAGCAGCAUUAAUCACAUACAAUAUUCUCAUCUCAGCAAAUGCUUCUUUCAAGCAAGAAUUCCCUGGUCCAUCUUCUGCAAAAACAUUAUUUUCUCAAGAUCCAAUUAUCAAGAUGCCAUCAAAUAACAACAUCAUCAACAAGAAGAAGAGGUUGUUUCAUACAGCUGUUACAUCUUCUGAUUCUGUUUAUAACACUUGGCAGUGUAGGAUUAUGUAUUACUGGUUCAAAAAGUUUAAAGAUGAACCUAAUUCUGAGAUGGG
rnacentral:misc_RNA from 1 species